UCCCAUCCCAUUCCCAUCCCAUUCCCAUUAUCCUUAAGAUCCCUGCAAUUCCUUAAAGCAGGAAUAGGAGUUGGGAAUUCCGGAUGCUCCAGCACAUCCCUAAGAACAGGGAUCCCAUUUAUCCCUCCCCAUUCCCUGUUUUUCCCUAUCAUUCCCAAGCUUCCCAACCCGUCUCCUUGCUGAUCCCAAUCCCAAUUCCCGAUUCCUUAUCCCAUUCUUUCCCUAUUCCCAUAUAUAUCCAUUGGGAAUACCCAUCUUUUCCAAGGCUCUGGAAUGCUGCCCAACAGCUGGGAUGCAGAUGGGGCAGGAAACGCAAUUCCACAUGGGAAUGCCAUAGGGAAAGGAGAUGGGAAGCAAAGGGGAUGGAUCCCAAUAGUAUCCCAUUCCUAAAGUGGGAAUGCCAUAGGGAAUGGAUAUGGGAAUGCCAUAGGGAAAGUAUAUGGGAAGCAAAGGGAAUGGAUCCCAUAGUAUCCCAGUCCUAAAGUGGGAAUGCCAUAGGGAAAAGGGAUGGGAAUGCCAUAGGGAAUGGAUCCCAUAGUAUCCCAUUCCUAAAGUGGGAAUGCCAUAGGGAAAAGAGAUGGGAAUGCCGUAGGGAAUGGAGAUGGGAAUGCCAUAGGGAAUGGAUAUGGGAAUGCCAUAGGGAAUGGAUAUGGGAAGCAAAGGGAAUGGAUCCCAUAGCAUCCCAUUCCUAAAGUGGGAAUGCCAUAGGGAAAGGAUAUGGGAAGCAAAGGGAAUGGAUCCCAGUAGCAUCCCAGUCCUAAAGUGGGAAUGCCAUAGGGAAAAGGGAUGGGAAUGUCCUUAGGCCUGGAUUUAGGCCGGGAAUAUCAUGGAAUUCUGGGAUUCAAUAGGUUGGGAUAGGGAAUAAUAGGGAAGUGAAGCCGGGAAUGGGCUUAUCCUAUAGGAUUUGCAUCGGGAAGAGGCCAAUGGAGGGAGUAAGGAAAAGCCUAUGGAAAAGCAUGGAAUGACUUGGGAUGGAUGGGAUCGACCCUUGGGAACAUGGGAUCAAUGGGAUAUAGGGCCAAAUAAACGGGAAUAUCCCAAGGAAUGGGGCAGUUUUCCUGCGUUCGGGGUUAUGGGAUUCCCGGGAUGAGGCAGGA